AAUAUUGGACAAUGGGGGCAACCCUGAUCCAGCCAUGCCGCGUGUGUGAAGAAGGUCUUCGGAUUGUAAAGCACUUUAAGUUGUGAGGAAGGGCUUUAGGUUAAUACCCUGAAGUUUUGACGUUACCAACAUAAUAAGAACCGGCGAACACUUUGCCAGCAGCCGCAGUAAUACUGAGGGUGCAAGGGUUAAUCGGGAUUACUGGGCGUAAAGCGCGCGUAGGUGGUUUGUCAAGUUGGAAGUGAAAUCCCCGGGCUUAACCUGGGAACUGCUUUCAUAACUGCUGAGCUAGAGUACGGUAGAGGGUAGUGGAAUUUCCUGUGUAGCGGUGAAAUGCGUAGAUAUAGGAAGGAACACCAGUGGCGAAGGCGACUACCUGGACUGAUACUGACACUGAGGUGCGAAAGCGUGGGGAGCAAAC
rnacentral:rRNA from 1 species